AGACGUCUACAUUAGAUACCCGUGUAGUCCCAGCCGUAAACUAUGCGCGUUAGGUGUAUCGGUGACCACGAGUCACCGAGGUGCCGAAGGGAAACCGUGAAACGUGCCGCCUGGGAAGUACGGUCGCAAGGCUGAAACUUAAAGGAAUUGGCGGGGAGCACCACAACGGGUGGAGCCUGCGGUUUAAUUGGACUCAACGCCGGGAAGCUCACCGGAUAGGACAGCGGAAUGAUUGCCGGGCUGAAGACUCUGCAUGACUAGCUG
rnacentral:rRNA from 1 species